rnacentral:rRNA from 1 species
GACGAAACGCUGGCGGCGUGGAUUAGGCAUGCAAGUCGAACGGUAUCAUCCUUUCGGGGGUGAGAGAGUGGCGAACGGGUGAGUAACACGUAGGUGAUCUACCCUCAAGAUUGGGACAACCCAGGGAAACUUGGGCUAAUACCGGAUGAAAGCAGCAGUGAUGUUGUUUGAAAGGUGGCGUAAGCUGCCGUUUGGGGAUGAGCCUGCGCUCUAUUAGUUAGUUGGCGGGGUAAAGGCCCACCAAAGGCGAUGAUAGAUAGGCGGCCUUAACGGGUGGUCGCCCACACUGGGAUUGAGAUACGGCCCAGACUCCUACGGGAGGCAGCAGUCGAGAAUAGUCUACAAUGGCCGAAAGGCUGAUAGUGCGACGCCGCGUGAACGAAGAAGCCCUUCGGGGUGUAAAGUUCUUUUAUAUGUGAGCAGUGCUUUCUAUGUGAACAGCAGUGGGGAGAGAGAUAUUAGCAUAUAGAAUAAGACAACGGCUAACUCCGUGCCAGCACGG